AUUGAACGCUGGCGGCAGGCCUAACACAUGCAAGUCGAGCGAGCGGCGGACGGGUGAGUAAUGUCUGGGAAACUGCCUGAUGGAGGGGGAUAACUACUGGAAACGGUAGCUAAUACCGCAUACCAUCAGAUGUGCCCAGAUGGGAUUAGCUAGUAGGUGGGGUAAUGGCUCACCUAGGCGACGAUCCCUAGCUGGUCUGAGAGGAUGAUCAGCCACACUGGGACUGAGACACGGCCCAGACUCCUACGGGAGGCAGCAGUGGGGAAUAUUGGACAAUGGGCGAAAGCCUGAUCCAGCCAUGCCGCGUGUGUGAAGAAGGUCCUAGGGUUGUAAAGUACUUUAAGUUGGGAGGCGUUACCAACAGAAGAAGCACCGGCUAACUCCGUGCCAGCAGCCGCGGUAAUAC
rnacentral:rRNA from 1 species